rnacentral:rRNA from 1 species
GACAGAGGGUGCAAACGUUGUUCGGAAUUACUGGGCGUAAAGCGCGUGUAGGCGGCUCGGCAAGUCGGGUGUGAAAGCCCUGGGCUUAACCUAGGAAGUGCACUCGAAACUGCCAAGCUUGAGUUCUGGAGAGGAAGGCGGAAUUCUCGGUGUAGAGGUGAAAUUCGUAGAUAUCGAGAGGAACACCGGUGGCGAAGGCGGCCUUCUGGACAGCAACUGACGCUGAGACGCGAAAGCGUGGGGAGCAAACAAG